UACGGGGGGAGCAAGCGUUGUUCGGAAUCACUGGGCGUAAAGCGCACGUAGGCGGACUCUUAAGUCGGUGGUGAAAUCCUGGAGCUCAACUCCAGAACUGCCUUCGAUACUGAGAGUCUCGAGUCCGAGAGAGGUGAGUGGAACUGCGAGUGUAGAGGUGAAAUUCGUAGAUAUUCGCAAGAACACCAGUGGCGAAGGCGGCUCACUGGCUCGGUACUGACGCUGAGGUGCGAAAGCGUGGGGAGCAAACAGG
rnacentral:rRNA from 1 species